GAACGCUGGCGGUAGGCCUAACACAUGCAAGUCGAACGGCAGCACAGUAAGAGCUUGCUCUUACGGGUGGCGAGUGGCGGACGGGUGAGGAAUACAUCGGAAUCUACUUUUUCGUGGGGGAUAACGUAGGGAAACUUACGCUAAUACCGCAUACGACCUACGGGUGAAAGCAGGGGAUCUUCGGACCUUGCGCGAUUGAAUGAGCAGAUGUCGGAUUAGCUAGUUGGCGGGGUAAAGGCCCACCAAGGCGACGAUCCGUAGCUGGUCUGAGAGGAUGAUCAGCCACACUGGAACUGAGACACGGUCCAGACUCCUACGGGAGGCAGCAGUGGGGAAUAUUGGACAAUGGGCGCAAGCCUGAUCCAGCCAUACCGCGUGGGUGAAGAAGGCCUUCGGGUUGUAAAGCCCUUUUGUUGGGAAAGAAAAGCAGCAGGUUAAUACCCCGCUGUUCUGACGGUACCCAAAGAAUAAGCACCGGCUAACUUCGUG
rnacentral:rRNA from 1 species